rnacentral:tRNA from 1 species
CGGGGCGUAGCGCAGCAUGGUAGCGCGUCUGCUUUGGGAGCAGAAUGUCGGAGGUUCAAAUCCUCUCGCCCCGACCA